rnacentral:lncRNA from 1 species
GCGUGCUCCGGGGGUUGCGGGCUCACACCGCUCUCCCCAUACCCGACAACCGCGAGAGGCAAGCGGCGAUCGGCUUCACGCCCCCCGGCGGAGAAUCGGGGCUUGUCCUUUUCCCGCGGCUCGCGGUCCCCACCCUAACCCAUGGCACUUUGGGACGCCCUAAGGGCUGCUCCAGCCUGGUACUCUGGCCCCACUCUCUUCUUCAUCUUCCUUCACCUUCUUUUUGACUCUGGAAAGCCUCCCCCAAAGCCCAGGACAAAGAUGACUUUUGGAAGAUUGCCCAAAACGAUAGCUAGAGUGUGCCCUGGGCUCUGGGAGAUGGAGGAGAGAGGCGACAGGAGGAGUCAAUGGUUUGCCCAGUGCUGCGGGGAGGCGCUUUGCACGCUCUAGAUCGCAAGCCAAACGUCUAGUGCCAAGAGCUGUCAGGCAAAAGACUGGUCAGCUGGAGAGACUUCUCGGGACGCGGAGAGGUAGAACAGGUUUGCAGAGCGCUGGCAACCUCGGUUGACACUAAGGAUCUAUUGCCCCGCGCGCGCGCGAUGCGUGAGCUGAAUUGGGAUGGAAGGGCCUGUUGAAGAGCCAGGGAAGCAGCGUUUAGGAGAGAGUUUUCCGAGGCCACGCCGUGACGGUCGACAUUAAUAUUAGUGGAAAGACGCGUGCCCCGCAGUAAGAUCAUGAAAAGGGAUCCAGGAAAUGAAAGAGGAGAGGCAAGAAGGUAAGAAACACCCACGCGUUCCUCAGAAAUUGCGUGGGGAUGGGUGUCUUUAGUGGUUCAGGACUGUCAAGCUGACUCUGAGACUAUAGAAGAGACCACGCUAAUGCAACCCUCUACAACGGCAUCCUUAAACCCAGCAGAGCGGAAAGCUAAUGCCCUUUCCUUUCCGCCCGGAUGCAAGACUGGAUGGAAGGCAUCCAACAUGAUGAAAUACGGUGCAGAAGAAUGGUCUGGGCAGAAGGAGCGCUGGGUACUAAAGUUGCAUGACCAAAGAGAUCCGAGAGCUGUCUGCCACACCCCCUUCCUGCCUGGUUCCCUUUCUGACUGCCCUGGUCGCUCCCUUGGACUAUGAUGAACACGACUGCAGCGCCCCCUGCUGUGGGGAAGCUACAGGGCACAGAAAACACGUCCUUGCAGGGCUGACUUCCAACUUCCCCUUUUGCACCUAACCAGCAAGCUCUUCAAAGAUAAUAAGGAAAGUGGACUCCCUGGGUAUGUGGCAGCGAUCUGAAAAGUUUGAACGCCUGCAGAAUAAGGAUGUCUGACUUCACAAAGAAAUCGUUUGGAAACUGACAAAUGUUUUACAACUUCAAAAGUAUUUAAAACUUAGCCUGCAAAAUAAAAACAUCUUCAUAAAAGUUAUGAAGACCCCGUUCUAAAGUAUACAAGCUAAAGAACUGAUUAUGUACCACAAAAGCUGUGAAGCUGAGAUCUUAAUUUUCUUGGCACUGGGUUGCAGCCCUUGGGUUGAAGAGAGCAAACGGCUGCUGAGGGCCAUGGCCAUGCACAAGGAACAACAAAUGGUCUUAAAACUCAUGGAAUGUUGUCCACUGGUUACCACAGCCACGCUGGAUUUUCCUCGGUAGGGAAUGACCCCGAGGAUCACGUGUCCUGAGGACUUCAUGCUGUAAUGGAGUUCUGCUCUGCUUGCUGCCCUCACAUCACUCUUAAUCUAAGAGAACUCUAAAGAGGCUUGCAGACUCUCACUGGGCAGUAUCUCUGGCACUCACAACAACAUUGCUUGAUUCCUUUCAGGCAUUGCUGCUGGAAGAGAUUCAACUGAUUCAACACCACCCUAGAAAAGAAUCUAGAGACAUAGAUUGUAAGUUAUGACAGCCGCCCUUGGAAAGCAUUUGGAAAAAUAAAAUUGUGAGUGAAGCUAGGUUAAGAUGCUUUUGCUACAGGCUCCCAGUGUAGAAAAUCUUAGGGAACAAUUUGAAGUUCAAAAAGGCACACUUUUAUUUGUUAAGCUAGGGACCUUUUAUGGUCAGGGAAUAAGAACAAUGGCAGCACUGGCUGAUGAUUCACAAUGAGGCUGGACUGAUGAUUUCUUUCUUUCUUCCUUUCUUUCUCUCUCUGUCUUUCUUUCUUUCUUCCUUUCUUUCUUCUUUCUUUCCUUCCUCCCUUCCUUCCUUCCUUCCUCCCUUCUUUCCUUCUUUCUUCUUCUUUCCUUCUUCCUUUCUUUCUUUCUUAAUUUCUUUCUUUCUUUCCAUUUAUUUAUUUAUUUAUUUAUUUAUUACUUAUUCACUUUAUAUCCUUCUCACUUCCCCCUUUCUGGUCACCCUCUCCCACAAUCCUUCCUCCAUCCUCCAUCUCCUUCUCUUCUAGGCAGAUGAGAGUCCCCUUGGCUAUCCCCCCACUCUGAUACUUCAAGUCUCUGCCAGGCUAGGUGCUUCCUUUCCCACCGAGGCCAGACAAAGUAACCCAGCUAGAAGACCAUAUCUCACAUAUAGGCAGCAGCUUUUGGGGUAGCUCCCAUUCCUAUUAUUCAGGAUCCGCAUGAAGACCAAGCUGUCCAUCUGCUAUAUGUGAGCUGGAAGAGCUAGUUCCAGCCAGUGUAUGUUCUUUGGUUGGAAGCUGAGGCUCUUAGAGCCUCAAGGGUCCAGAUUAGUUGACUUUGUUGGUCUUCUUGUGGAGUUCGAUCCCCAUCAGGACCCACAGUCCUUCCUCCUAUUCUUCCAUGAGUCCCCAAGCUCCAUCCACAGUUUGACUUUGUGUGUCUAUAUCUAUCUGAGUCAGCUGCUGGGUGGAGCCUCUCAGAGGACAGCCAUGCUAGACUCCUGUCUGCAAGUAUAACAGAGUAUCAUUAAUAGUGUUAGGGAUUGGUACUUGCCCAUGGAAUGAAUCUCAAGUUGGGUCAGUUAUUGGUAGGCUAUUCCAAAAAUACCUUAUUUUGCUUUCACCUUUUCUGAUAUGAUUUAAUAAGAAUUGCUGGUGAGGAGAUAUGCAUUCUGAGGAUUUAAAGUAGGUCUGGAUGAUUUUUCUAUAAAAACUGAGAUUUCUGUUUCUUUUAAGAUUCUUAUAAGAAAAUAUUUGAUCUUUUCUUUGUAACCGCAAAUCACUGCCUGCCAGUAAGAGAAACUGGCUGAGAAAACUGUCUUGCUUACUUACACUUUGUUAAUCUAUAGCAAGUUGCUUAGUUACAAAUGUAUGUAGGUUCUUAGGAAUAAUUUUUUUUAACCUGUGCUACCUAACGUUAUUUCUUGUAAAGGUGUUGGGGAACACACUGUUUCUUCAUAGUCAUUUCCUGGAAGAAAACUAGAUCAUAAUCACACUGUAAUUUUAUACUGCUUGAAAGGUUUUGCUGGGAUAUAUAUGCCAUACAAUAAGGAAUAAAGUUGUUGGAACAUUGUUCCUUCCAUCCAUCAAC